GCAUAUUUUUAUCCGCCGUUACUAAAUUAGGAAGCCAGAGAGAGCAAACGGAGGGUGUCUGCCAAGGCAGAAGAAGAAGGGUCUGCUCAGGCCUGGGUUUGCUGAGGACCCGUGCCAGCCCUGCCAGGUUCAUUAAGAGCCACUUGGGUUUCAGAAAUAGAAGCCCAACAGGGACMCAAGCCAAACAGGACCCAGGACAGCCCGGCCAAAAACUCACGGGACAAACAAACAAAUAAACUGCUUUCUUAUGCACUGCCAGAGUCAACCGGCAGCAGCCACCCUAAGGAGCUAUUAUAAGUUAUCUUGGGCAGUUCUGCAAACAAGGACACCUACACCACCCGAUGUCACAGGAAGGU